rnacentral:lncRNA from 1 species
CUGGGCAAGGACCCAGCAUUGACAGCUGCUGCAACCCCUCCCAGAUCUUUCCUUUACUUCCUGGGGAUGGGGGUGGGAGAAGAAUUUACCACAGGGGUGCCCUUCUCCAUUCCCUGGAGAAGCAUCCCUGAAAAAAUUAUAGGGGAUGGAGAUUUAAUCCUGAGUUCUCUACACAUGUGCCUUGGAUGGCUGAACAUACCAGGACUCCCCAGAGAUGGAGAUCACCUUCCAACUCGGGAGUGAGGGGGUAAUAUUUCUUCCUACUUAUGAGAGGGGGUAGUGGUGGACCCAGCAACUUCCAGACAUAUGACCAUCGUAGAGAAUUAUGUGUGCCGUCCCCUCCCCAGUGGAUUAGUGAUCUCUGAAAAUCACAGGAGUCUUAGUGAGCAUACAGAGGGGUCAGGUUCUGAUCCUCAGAGGGAAAGGAAGGAGGAAAACCAAAACUGCUAAAAGCUCAAAACCCCUCCAGAGAAGUGAGGGCAAAAACACGCCAAGGGAGAUGGUAGCGUGAGCAAUAGAGAUUUAUCUCUUUACAGAUUCCUUCACAAGCAGCUGGAUCAAAGGCUUUCCAGGUAAGAGAUAAUGCCCAUCCCAAUGUCUCCCCGUUCCUCCUCCCAGAUUGUCCCUGCUCCUUGUGAGAUGAUCCAUAUUAAUCAGCUUGGCUAUCAUUAGCAUCAUACAUUUCUUAGAACAGAGAAUAGAGUGAAAACUGAAAGGAUUCUUGAAGUAUAGAAUGUCAGUGUCAGGAGGAGAGGGGCCCCAGAAACCAUGUUGUUCAUUUUACAGAUGGGAAGGAAGGCAGAUUUGCUGAAGGUCUUGCAGUGAGUGAGUCAGAGGCAGGAGCGGAGGGUUUAGACCCUGGUCUCCCGAUUCCCAACCCAUGGUUCUUUCCUCUGAACUUGUUUUUCAUUGCCAAUCUCCCCUCUUCACGACGUCUCCACUGGCUCUCCUUCUCCACUGACUAUCUCUUCUCAAGAUUUUCUCAUAUGGCUGCUGAUGGCGUGUGUCAUGAUAGGAUUGGGGGCUGUGUUGGCAAGAAUGAUCUGGAGAUGCUUUAGAAGAAACACAGACUCCGAGAACCACUUUUAUGGCAAUGUUCUCUAUUUCCACAAAGAAACUAAGGGGGCCACGCCAAACAAGAACAAGCCUCUGCAAGGGACACCAGAGAAAAAGAGAGGAGAGAGGAUCUACUCUGCUGGUCUCCAACUCCCAACCCCUACCCCUAGGGCUUAGUCCCCUGGAACCGUCCCCCUACCCACUCCAGCCUGCAUCAGGCUAGUUCUUAGCCAAUAAAACCAGCUCACUCCCUGCCUCCAACCUUCACUUAACCUAGGAUUUCUUUGCUCAGUCCAGUGAGGUGUGGGGGAGAGGUCAGCCUUCCUGAGAAUGGGAAAGUGAGGGAGGACUAAGGUUUCCCAGAAGCUGGGAGGUUGCCUCUUCAGCCAAGUCAUGGAGGAUAGGAUCCAAUGCUUAAAGAUAAGCCAGAGCUACAUUUUUGGAAAUGAAAGUGGCAAAAAGGAGGAUGGCCCAAUUUUAUGGCCCCAAUAUUAUACUUGACUCUUAAUAUUUGUUAUAAAGGAUUUUUUUUUUGUUUAUUUUAGUGGGGAAGAGGAGAAAAUGGAGAAAAUAAAUGCUUGUUGAUUGAAAAAUAAAGUGAAAAAACAAAAGAACCAAGAUCAUCUGAUAUGACUCUAAUAUGUGAGACUGCUUCUCAUAUACUUUUUCCAUCAUUUCCUAGACACUACUAGAGCUUGCUCUCCCCUUUCCCCAUCCCUAAUGCCCAACUGACUUAGUAUCCUAUGGCUUCUCCGUAAGGUCUAGCAUUAAUAAACCAGAGGCCCUUGUUUGAUGAGGGCAGGAUGUAUGAUGUUUGAUGUAUGGCCUGUAAGACCCCAGAGCACCUGAGAAGGAAUAGGGGAAGGGAUGGAAUCUGAGAGACUGAAAUCUGAGGAGUUGGAAUUAAAAGACUUGGAUCUGAGGAAAGUAGAAUCCUUGCAACUGGAAUGGAAGAGACUGGGAGCUGAGAUUUGGGGAUAUUGUGAAAUGAGAAUAGACUCUGGGGGAGAAUUAGAUCUUGGGGGCUAAAAUUGGAAGGUAAAGUAGGGCUGAGCUGGAGAGACUGGGAUCUAUGGGCUAGUGUUGAGAUAAAUCUGAAAAAAUCUGUUAUUUGGAAGCUGGACUCUAGGGAAGCUAAAUUCUGGGUGGCUGAGAUGGAAGGGAGACCUGAGAGUGAAAAUAAGAGAAUAUAGAGGAGACACUGAAGAAAGGAGGUAGGAUUUUCUGCAGAACUGGCUCAUCUGAUGAAAAGGAUCUUCCAUAAGUUAUUUCUUCU